GUGUUCGCUACCCCAGCUCUGACAACAGACAAGAUACGACGAUCAACAAACCUUGGUUUGAAAGUUCCAGAUAUCUGCAGCAACAUGAGCGUUCAGUCAGAAAUAAAAGUUGUCUUGUACAGCAAUACCAACCUCACUGGCGACUGUGUACCAGUCUCUACAGACAUACCGGAUUUGAAAAACUUUAAGAACAGAGCUCAGUCAGCCAUUGUAAUCCAUGGAAAAUGGGAGCUGAAAAGCGCUGCGGGAAAUACAUACCCUCUUGACGAGACAGUCGGAAAGUAUAAUGACCUCGGUACUUUCAAACAAAAGGCCAUCUCCAUCACCCGAGUAUAAGGUGCCGUGGCCAUGAAGGAGACCCUCCCAACAAAGGGACAUACCAGCCACCUGCAUUUCUGCAAUUUCCUCUGCACUUUCCUGUACUCUUGAUUUUCCUUUACUCCAGAUUAUUAUGCUUUUAAUGUCUAACAUUUGGCUAUGCUCAAGUGGGUUUGCUUGAGGUGGGGAUAGGAACCGACGUAGGUUGUAAGGGUGUGGUUAUGACAGUGUUCAGGGACACAUGGGUUUACUCUCACUGCCUCUUGGGACAGUUCAAGUCAAAAUCACGAAUGGUCAUAAUAUCUACAGAUAAACUAACUCGACACAGCAAUUACAUCAUCUAAAUCCAACAAUUGUGGCUUUAAUCUCUCAGUAAAAUGAUUACAAAGUACGAUGCAGAAAAUUAUUGUUCAUUACUAUUCUGUAGUUCUAUGUGUAACAUCAAUUUUUCACCUGUGCACUUUGCUUCACAUAUACUAUGAUUCGUUUUGAACAAUGAAAGCUAAGAAGAUGAAGGUCACAUUGCGUUGUUGAAAUUAAGCCUCAAAUUGAAGAAACUGUAUUGAUAUUUGAACAGGUGCAGAGCAAAAUUAGGAGCAGUCCAUUUUAAAGCGUUCGCUACUGUUGAUGAUGAAUUCAGUUUUGUACAUUACGUUAUUUGACACUAUUAUGACACUAUACAGAGUAAAGAAAUAAUAGACAAAUGUGGGAAAAUUGUGAUUCCUUUCGUUGUUGAAAAUAAACAUUUGAUAAAAUUUUAA